CGCCUGUUUAUUAAAAACAUGGUUUUUAAAUUUAAUUAAAAAUUUAACCUGCCCAUUGAUAUUAAUUAAAAGGCCGCAGUACUUUGACUGUGCUAAGGUAGCAUAAUCAUUAGAUUUUUAAUUGAAAUCUAGAAUGAAAGGUUGGAUGAGAUAUAAGCUUUUUUUUAUAAAAUAUUUGAAUUUUAUUUUUUAGUCAAAAAGCUAAAUUCAUUAAAUGGGACGAGAAGACCCUAUAGAAUUUUAUAAAUAAUAAUUUAUAAUUAAUUUUUAAUUAAGUUUUAAAUUUUAAUUUAUUUUAUUGGGGAGAUAUUUAAAUUUAAAAAACUUUAAUUUAAUUUAAUCAUUAAUUUUUGUAUAAUUGAUCUUUUUUUAAAGAUUAAAAAUUUAAAUUACCUUAGGGAUAACAGCAUAAUAAUUUUAAGGAGUUCUUAUUUUUAAAAUAGUUUAUGACCUCGAUGUUGGAUUAAAUUAAUUUUUAUAUGUAGAUAUAUGAAAAAUAAGUCUGUUCGA
rnacentral:rRNA from 1 species